UCUCAGACCUGAACCUGUAUCUAGUGAUCGGUCUGGGCUCGGUGUCAUCCCUGCUGCUCAUCACCAUAUUGGUCACCAUCGUGCUCAAGUGUCAGAAACCCAAGCCCAGCAUAGCGGCUCCUCCCUGCAGGAACAGUGUGAUCAGUGAGAGGAACUCCACCAUCGCAGACUCCACUCUGGUCUCCAACGAUGCCUACUGGUACAGUCUGUUCCUAGCAGAGACCAGGAAAGGAAAGCUGGUGGUUAGACAGCCUCUGCCAAAGGGCUCCAGGUACAUCGUGUCCAGUAUACCAAGAGGCACAGGGCUGACAGACACCAGUGACUCUGCUGCUUCCACUCUGCAGGUAUGGAAAAUUUACAGUUAAAAGUGUAAUGCACAUAUGCUCUUUGAGAGUGUCUAUCAAUUCCAGUGGCCUCUUUUAAUAAUGACGUUUCUGUCUUAUUAUUCCUUUCAGUACCCUUUUUAAUGAAUUCCUCAUAGAUAUCCAAACAUGUCCAUUUUUAUCUCGUGCUUUUUUUAUCAACAUUUACAGAAAUAUACACUCUGGAUAGGCUAUUGGUUAUAAUAAAAGUUGACAUCUAAGUAUUAUAUAAAUGUCGGUACGGCUCUUGGAUUUCCUUAAGAUUAGAGAAGUUACUGGAUAUUUGCGAAAUCUAGCCAUUUCAUAUAUCAGCUUUUGUUGCUCAAGGUAAAUAGGUUUUACAUUCCACACUGCCUAGGUAACGAGGCAACUGUGUGUCGUUUACGAGACUACAUCACUUUCUCCCCAGAACUAUUUAUCAGCAGCAAUGAGAACAUACACAUAUAAAUAAAGAGAAAAUAUGCGGGCAAACUAACUUGUGUCAACAUCUGGGAUGAUUUUACGCACACAAAUCGGUGCGUAAAAGUCAAAUGCAAGGGCAGUGACACUGUAUUUGCACUCAUUGCGCAAUAUGUAUGAGGCUUUAUGUGUAAUUAAAAUAUAAAAACAAGAGAUUUAAAAAUUAUGAAAACAAUACAAUGAAAAAAGGAGAAAGAGAAAUUGCAGCUGCUUUACCCAUAUCCCUAGGGAAGAUUAAGAUAAAAACCCAGGGAAAUAGUAAAAUAGAGUAUUUAACAACAAUUUUAUUUAUUUAUUAAUAAAAAUUAAAAGUUUACAUACGGUUCAUGUUUGUUCAAGGAAAUAUUGAAACCCUGGAUAUUUUACGAAGUGCAAAGACUCAUAAAUGACUAUUCACGUCGCUGCUCUCCAAGAAAACUUAUUAAAUGGUGAAGUCAUUGCUCUCGCGACAGCUCAUUGGAGGCUGGGCAGGCAAGCAUAUUACACGAACAUCUCUUCUGACACCAGUAUAAAGAAACGUUUUCACUGAAGAUCCUACUUAAUUUUCCUAGAAGGACUGUUUUUCCUCGCUCUUUGAUAACUCGUUUUGAAUGAUUUUAAAUGAGGAUGUUUUUCUCAAUGGCUCGUCAUACCGGUCAGUAUUCCCCGAGAGGGCACAUUCCCGUAUUUCUCUGUCUUUCUGCCAUCAUGACUACGGUGUUCACCGUCACCCAUUAUUCUGUUCCCGAAGAAAUGGAGGAAGGCUCUGUUGUUGCUAAUUUAGCGGCUGAUUUGGGAUUAGAUGUGAAGACUCUUCAUAAUAGAAAAAUGCGAGUUGACGUGGUAGGCAACAAAAAAUAUCUUGACAUCAACAGAGACACAGGGGAGCUGUUCAUUUUAGAAAGGAUGGAUAGGGAGUUUUUGUGCCCCCUUAAGACAUCCACGUCCUGCUUUCUUAAGAUAGACGCCACGAUUGAAAAUCCGAUAAGGAUGUUUAAUAUUGAGGUGGAAAUCACGGAUAUUAAUGAUAACGCUCCUCAUUUUCGACGUGGAACGAUGCAUUUGGACAUUUCCGAAUCGAGCCCCGUCGGAGAGAGAUUCUCACUGAACAACGCUGCAGACCCAGAUGUUGGAACCAAUUCUGUUAAAGAUUACCAUCUGAGCUCAAGUCAACAUUUUGCUCUUGAAAUCCAGACCGGGAGAGAUGGGUCAAAGUUUGCAGAUUUGAUUCUGACAAAAGCUUUAGACAGAGAGCAGCAGGCUGUUCAUAAUCUAAUACUCACAGCUGUGGACGGCGGGGUCCCCACGCGCACAGGUACAGCCAGCAUCAUUGUUCGCGUGCUCGAUGUGAACGACAACGCCCCUUCAUUUGACAAAGACAAAUAUGUGGUAGAUGUGAUGGAAAACUCCCCCAUUGGCAGUCUAGUAAUCAAACUCAACGCCACAGACUUAGAUGAAGGGUCCAACUCUGACAUUGCCUAUUCAUAUAGUUUGUACACUUCAGAGAGAACGCAGAAGAUGUUUACCUUGAAUCCAGAAAAUGGUGAAAUCAGAGUGAAAGAGAUGAUAAAUUAUGAAGAUUUGAAACUUUAUGAACUGGAAGUUAUUGCCACCGACAAGGGGCCAAACUCCUUAUCUGGACAGUGUAAACUAACAAUACAUGUGACGGAUAUGAAUGACAAUCACCCAGAGAUCUCCAUCAAAUCAUUUCAGAGUCCGAUCAAAGAAAAUGAACCAAUAGACACAGUGAUAGCAGUAGUUAGUGUGAGCGACAAGGACUCAGGUGACAAUGGAGUGGUUGAUCUUCACGUUCCAGAUAACAUGCCUUUCAGACUGAGGGAAUCCUCUGAUAACUACUAUGAGUUAGUGGUGUCAGAGCCUUUAGACCGUGAGAAGGUCCCAGAAUAUGACAUCACUUUCACUGUUACAGACAGAGGGUCUCCUCCGUUAUCUGAUAAUGAAACUAUGACUUUAGAGCUGCUGGACAUUAACGACAAUGUCCCACAGUUCCCUCAGUCAUUUUAUACCAUACGUGUAGUGGAGAAUAACGCACCCGGGGCCUUGCUCAGUUCACUCACUGCGUUUGACCCUGACCUCCAUGAAAACCAGUAUCUAGUGUAUUUCAUCCUAGAGAAGGAGAUCGCCAACACCUCCAUGUCCAUGCUGUUCUCCAUCAACCCAGAGAACGGUAAUCUUUACGCACUGAAAACUUUCGACUAUGAGAUCGAGAAGGAGUUUCUUUUCCACAUCGAGGCCAGAGACUCUGGCUCUCCUCCACUCAGCAGUAACGUGACCGUCCACAUCAUCAUUGUGGACCAGAACGACAACGCUCCGGUCAUUGUGUCUCCGUGGCGCGCGCACGGCUCAGUGGUGGAGGAGAAGAUCCCCAGAUCCACCGAUAAAGGCUCUCUGGUUGCCAAGGUGAUAGCCUUAGACACAGACUCUGUGCACAACUCUCGGAUCACCUACCAGUUUCUACAGGUGACCGAUGCCACCUUGUUCAGUCUGGACCAGUACAACGGAGAGAUCCGGACCAUGAGGAUGUUCAGCUACAGAGAUCCGCGCCACCAGAGACUGGUUGUUGUUGCCAAGGACAACGGGGAGCCCGCUCUCUCUGCCACAGUCACCAUCAAGCUGUCCACGGUGGAGACUGCUGUCAAGGCCCACUCUGAUAUGACGGAGGUGCCUCUGGAGUAUGACAUCUUCUCAGACCUGAACCUGUAUCUAGUGAUCGGUCUGGGCUCGGUGUCUUUCCUGCUGCUCAUCACCAUAUUGGUCACCAUCGUGCUCAAGUGUCAGAAACCCAAGCCCAGCAUAGCGGCUCCUCCCUGCAGGAACAGUGUGAUCAGUGAGAGGAACUCCACCAUCGCAGACUCCACUCUGGUCUCCAACGAUGCCUACUGGUACAGUCUGUUCCUAGCAGAGACCAGGAAAGGAAAGCUGGUGGUUAGACAGCCUCUGCCAAAGGGCUCCAGGUACAUCGUGUCCAGUAUACCAAGAGGCACAGGGCUGACAGACACCAGUGACUCUGCUGCUUCCACCCUGCAGGUAUGGGGAAAUGACCAUUUUAACAUUAGUCAUGUUGAUUGUGAUGUCAGCACCUGAGAAUUUGUAUUCACACACCCAACUAUUUUUUAAAUGUAAUACAUAAGGAGUCAGUUAACACUGUAUAAAAAAGAGGAAAAUCAUGCACUUAAUGUUUAGAAAAAUUAUUACUAAUGAUGGUUUAGUGCAUCCCUUAUUACAAGAUUUAUUAUGAACUCCUAUGAUUUGCAAUUAAGAAAAGAUCAAAUGGCAAUGGCUUUAGCUGAUUAGUUCAUGCUGAAUAAUUUGCAUGCACUUCAGACAUUUAUUGAAAUACUAUCAAAUUAGCUACAUUGAAUGUUUGUUCCAAACUCAUGCACUUGAUCAGUUUCUUUAUAAGCAGAACUGUACCUUUUUUGCCUCAUGACCUCAACGAUUCUAUGCACGUAUGCUAAAAGUUAGAGAAACUGUUUGCAACAAAAUAUACGAUGAGCAGUUUAAAAAAGUAAUACCAGCAACAUGUUGACCCAUUCUCCACUAAUUUGUCAAAUUGCACCUGUAAAUGAUUUUUGUUUUUUGUUUAUUUUUUUGCCAUAUUCCAAACCACUUAUUUCAAGAAAAACACUUUAUUUCUAUAAUAUGUACUGUGCUGCUUAUAGCAGACUGAUCAAGUGAAUGGGUCUGAAUUGAACUCUUGUGUAACUUGAAUGCAACUAAUGUGGUGGCAUUAUCAUAAGAGUACCAAGUAAAUGUGUACUAACAUUUCUUAACUUAAUUCAUGAACUAAUCACAUAAAAUCAAAGGGGCUUGCUCAUUUGUCAGUGAUGAGUACAAGGAAUUCAUGACACAUCUUGUGAGAAUUUCAUGUAUUAAGUGAUCAUGAGUCCCGCAUUAGUUACUCGUUACUUUAGUUUAUAUGAUUUGUACAUACAAAUUGUACCAAAUGUCAAUAUUCCCCUAAAAUGAACUGUAUCAGAAGUAUAAAUGCCAGCAUGUACAUUAACAACACGUUAGAUCAGCCUAAGAUUGUUGGCAGAUAGUUUUCGUUUUAAAAUUCCUAUAUAAUUUUAAAAAUUUCAUAAGUAGCCUAACAUGUAUUUUUCCUUUACUAAAUAAAUAUUAUUGCUAUUUCAACUUGGAGUAUUCUGCAUAGAUCAAAUAAUGAGGUGCAAUGAGACAAGGUGUGGGGAACAUUGAUACAACAUUAAAUUCAAAAUAACGACGGUCAGAAAUCAUUGAUAAUCUAUACAAAACCACCUGUGAGUUCAUCAUUUGGCACUCUUUUACGCAGAGAUCCCUGUGCGUAAAAGUCGCAAAACACAAAAAAGAAGGUACCAAGAUACAUGCUCUCUGCCUUUACAGUUAUUGUAUACAAGUAUGACAAAAAUAAACCAAACAUUUACACAGAAAUGCAAAUAUCUAACGAGCGGAAAUUGAAAUAUGUAUGUCAAAUGGUCCGAACGCCACCUCCUACUCAGGAAAACAAACUUCAGAAAUCAGAAAUAAAAUGUCACCACGAAACUAAUUUCUAGUUUCCUCCGCUGUGAUUAACGUAAAUUCCACUUAUAUUUUAAAACAAGAUUACUGUUUAAAAAGUUGCACAGACUCAAACGACAGCUUUCGUCGCUGCUCUCCAAGAAAACACACACAGUGAUGAGGUCAUUGCUCUCACGAUAGUUCAUUGGAGGAAGGAGUGUCAGUGUUGGCACUGAAUGCACGUCACUCCUGGUUGAAACGCAGAGAAACGUUUUUAUUUUAAAGCUCCUCGCUUUGUUUGUUCGUUCAGGUAGAGGACGGUUUUCCCGUUUCAAGGCAUUAAUUACGGAACGUUCACGAUGGCGCAUCAUAUCCGACAGCUAUUCGGGAAAGGUAUCCUAAAUGAAGGAAGUCCACUCUGCAGUUGGAGGAGAGGCGCAAAGUGAAACCAGUCACUCUGUUACCUAGCAACCACCCUCCUCCACAUAGUCCUGGAGCAUGGUAUUCAUUGAUAGACCCACUACCUCACCAGUAUAUGUUCAAGGAUCUGCCCAACUCCUUCCCCAACUCUGUCUCCCGCUUGAAGCCCCGACCUGAGUGACAGACAUCGGCUGCAUGAGAUAUGCAUCCACCACCAGCAGCAGCAGUUCCACAUAAGGCCAUAUCUCCACCUGCAUACUGGAUUCAUGCUGAGAGGAAAGCUUCACAGAGAAAAGGAGAAGCCCCUGCCCAUCCUGCUCAGUCUGAUCCCUGUUCCUUGCAACAUGUAUUUGUUAUGCUUUAACACCAAAUGGACUAUGGUGGCUUGUCAAGGACAUGACCCUCCCCCUCUCUUUCUAUAAGCACAUGACUGCAUGGCUUCAACCAUAUUCCAAGAUCUCCCUGCAAAACAAUUUCAAGAGGAGAUACCCACAUAAAAUCAAGACUGUAGGAAAAACUGUACAGGUGGAUAUUCAAAGAAGCUGCAAAAAGGACUAUUAGAGUGGACGCACAGAUGUUGAAUGACCUUCAAGAGACUGUUUUCCCUCUCCUAAAACAAACAGCAACAAAAAUCAUUACAUUUUCAACCUCUGUGCUUUGUCCUGCUCCACAGUAGCAUUGAUGUAUUUUAUAUAUAUAAGUUGACUGAAAAGUGAAAGAGCACAAUUAAAUGUCAGAAAUGCACCAACCUGUGGUUUAAAAUAAUGUGACUUAAAUGAAAAUCAGUAUUUUAUAAGUGUGGUGGUUUUUUAGUUGUUUUUGUUUUGUACUUGACUUUGUGCUUUGUGCCUGAGCUUGGCUUAAUUAUUUGAAUGAGAGUGCUAAGAGAUUAAUUACCGUAAGCUAAUUGGUACAAUAAACUGGUUAACAGCAAGGCCUUUAGCCAUAUCUAUCACUCUCCCAGGUGUUUUUGCAUGGAAUAAUCAAAGUACUCUGAUAAUUGUAGAUAUUUUAUGACACUGAGCAAUCCAUUUUCUGCCCUUAGGCCUUGCUGGUUUGCCUUUUUAAAACAAGAUGAGAGAUUAUGUCUUAAUGGGAAAACAUGAGUGCAAUACACAGUUGUAUUACAAAGAAGGAUGAUCUUCAGAUGUGGUGAAAACACAUCUAUGAUCUCAUUCCUUUUUCCUAGUUUCUAGGUAAGAGCAAAACAGCUGGCAGCAGUAAAAUAUUUUUAGGGAUUCAGGAAGUUAAGUGUAUGCUCAGUUUAAAGUGUCCACUUAAACAUUACUGGAGAAUAUAGGUCACAUGGACUGAACUGAACACAAGUGGAUACAAUGCGCUUUUGGGAAUGGAUUAAUUAUUGUCUCUUUAUGACUACUGUAUAUACACCAUGGACAUGAUCAUGUACUUUCACUUUUUAUUUUUUAAGCCAAACUCUGGAUGUUCUUUAAUUCCAGCAUCUUCUGAGACUGUGUACAAAGUUGGAAACUCAGCACUGAACAUGACAACUUAAUGUUUACUUUAUAAUAUUGAAGUUGUGUUUGAAUUCACUCAGUCAAACAGGUGCUCAUGUGUGUUACUGACUACUUUAUGUGUCUGCAUAUGUAUAAAUAGGGAUACAGAUAUCACUGACCUAUACAAUAUAUCAUGUGUUUCAAUAUCAAUAUGAACAAAACAGUGGAACUCCUUUGCUGUCUGAUUUAUUGGUCAACUAUGUGAAACAAUAACGAUCAAACAUCAUGUACUGUAGUCAACAGCUCACAAGUUGUAAUGUAUUACAGGCAAACAUACAGUAAGUGCUCUUGUACAGUGGUAUGUUUAUGGUGCACUAUGUAGGAGCUUGUGUAAUGUGAGCUUAUUGUAUGCUAUGGCCUAGUCUGUGUGAUUUAAUAAACAGAAACAAAAUGGAAUAAUGAACA